rnacentral:rRNA from 1 species
CAAUAGCGUAUAUUAAAGUUGUUGCGGUUAAAAAGCUCGUAGUUGGAUUUCUUCCAGGGGCAGUCGGUCCACACUACGUGUGCGUAUCUGAUUUGACUUUGGAAUCCUCUUGGGGAACAUCUCUGCGCUUAACUGCGUGGAAUGGUAUUCAAGACUUUUACUUUGAGGAAAUUAGAGUGUUCACGGCAGGCAAUCGCCCUGAAUACAUUAGCAUGGAAUAAUAAUAUAGGAUUUCGGUUCUAUUUUGUUGGUUUCUAGAGCUGAGAUAAUGAUUAAUAGGGACACUUGGGGGCAUUCGUAUUAUCACGUCAGAGGUGGAAUUCUUGGAUUGUGUUACGACGAACUACUGCGAAAGCAUUUGCCAAGGAUGUUUUCAUUG